CGCGGCCUAUCAGCUUGUUGGUGGGGUAGUGGCUUACCAAGGCUUUGACGGGUAGCCGGCCUGAGAGGGUGACCGGCCACAUUGGGACUGAGAUACGGCCCAGACUCCUACGGGAGGCAGCAGUGGGGAAUAUUGCACAAUGGGCGGAAGCCUGAUGCAGCAACGCCGCGUGCGGGAUGACGGCCUUCGGGUUGUAAACCGCUUUCGCCUGUGACGAAGCGUGAGUGACGGUAAUGGGUAAAGAAGCACCGGCUAACUACGUGCCAGCAGCCGCGGUGAUACGUAGGGUGCGAGCGUUGUCCGGAUUUAUUGGGCGUAAAGGGCUCGUAGGUGGUUGAUCGCGUCGGAAGUGUAAUCUUGGGGCUUAACCCUGAGCGUGCUUUCGAUACGGGUUGACUUGAGGAAGGUAGGGGAGAAUGGAAUUCCUGGUGGAGCGGUGGAAUGCGCAGAUAUCAGGAGGAACACCAGUGGCGAAGGCGGUUCUCUGGGCCUUUCCUGACGCUGAGGAGCGAAAGCGUGGGGAGCGAACAGGCUUAGAUACCCUGGUAGUCCACGCUGUAAACGGUGGGUACUAGGUGUGGGGUCCAUUCCACGGGUUCCGUGCCGUAGCUAGCGCUUUAAGUACCCCGCCUGGGGAGUACGG
rnacentral:rRNA from 1 species